ACCUUACCUGGUCUUGACAUCCACAGAAGAAUCCAGAGAUGGAUUUGUGCCUUCGGGAACUGUGAGACAGGUGCUGCAUGGCUGUCGUCAGCUCGUGUUGUGAAAUGUUGGGUUAAGUCCCGCAACGAGCGCAACCCUUAUCCUUUGUUGCCAGCGGUCCGGCCGGGAACUCAAAGGAGACUGCCAGUGAUAAACUGGAGGAAGGUGGGGAUGACGUCAAGUCAUCAUGGCCCUUACGACCAGGGCUACACACGUGCUACAAUGGCGCAUACAAAGAGAAGCGACCUCGCGAGAGCAAGCGGACCUCAUAAAGUGCGUCGUAGUCCGGAUUGGAGUCUGCAACUCGACUCCAUGAAGUCGGAAUCGCUAGUAAUCGUGGAUCAGAAUGCCACGGUGAAUACGUUCCCGGGCCUUGUACACACCGCCCGUCACACCAUGGGAGUGGGUUGCAAAAGAAGUAGGUAGCUUAACCUUCGGGAGGGCGCUUACCACUUUGUGAUUCAUGACUGGGGUGAAGUCGUAACAAGGUAACCGUAGGGGAACCUGCGGUUGGA
rnacentral:rRNA from 1 species